rnacentral:lncRNA from 1 species
CCAAAUACAAUAACAUAGGUCCAGAUACAUGUCUCAAAAAUAAUAACAUAGGUCUAGAUACAAUUUCACAAUCACAAUAGCAUAGGUAGCAUUUAAGUUUUGUGAUCAAUUGGUUUUUAGUCUCCUUGGCUUUAGUUUCUUUGGUGGGCUCCUUUUUUGCACAGUCUUCUUUGGUGAGGCAACAAGGAUGGGAUCAACACCUUCACCUAGCAGGGUUUGGAGCCGGCUGCAAUAAAAGGAUGAAAUAUGUCAUUUGUAGCUCUUGUGUACAAGUAUAAAAAGAAUGAGAAUUAGUAUGUUGCAUACCCUCUUGUCACCCUAACGGGGCUGUUUUGUAUAAUCUGUUCCCUUGUGAGCCUUGUCGGGCUGGAGAGUGCAUUUGGGGCUGGUGCAGCCAAUUCUUCUUCAUUGCAUACAUUUGGGGAUGGUGGUGCCAUUUCUUGGUCAUUGAAAGCAGCUGUUGAUUCAGCAGUAGCAUUAUCCUGAGAUUUCUCUCCCUUCCUUGCUCUCUUUGUUGGGAUUUUUGCAUUCUCAC